rnacentral:lncRNA from 1 species
CUCAUUCGAGGCAUUACAUUAGGGCUCUACUACUACAAAAUUGGAAUACAAUAACGUUUGAAAUAAAAAAAAAAAAGUGAUAUGGAAGAAGUAAGAUAUGUCGAUAAAUUUUUUUUAAAAAAAGCAAAAUUUUGAUGAAAAACAAUACUACUUUUGGAUUUGCAUAUUUCUUGGCACAAUUUAUGUGUUGUUAAUUAACGACGACACCUACUCUUAGUAUCAUUAAAAAAAAUUCAUAAAUGAAAAACCCUCAUUCCAAUUUUUUAGGCAUUCCUUCGUAUGAAAACAUAAAUCUCCAUCAACCUCUCGAAAAAACGCUUGCAAAUUCUCUAUCCACCUCUAUACCCUCCUCCGUCUGCCGUCAUCUCGCACUGCCAUCCUCCUCCGUCUGGUGUUUCUCGUUGUACCCUCUUUUGUUCAGUUUUUUUCACAGUGAACACUCCUUCGUCUGGUGCUUCUCGCGGUGAACGCUCCUCUAUUUAGUGCUUCCUCUGUCCGAUGCUUUGUCGUCUCAUUUCCUCCUCUGUUCUGCCCUCUGUAAAUGUUCGUUUGGUGCUCAAUUGUGCUCCAUCUGGUGUUGCGUCCUUCCCUCGUACCAAUUUUAACAACUGCAAGUGUUUAGGGUUUUGGCUUUCAUUGGUCUCUAAUUAACAUAUUUUUUUAAUUCAGUUAUUUAUUGAUAUGAAUUUCGUCAACUAGGAUCUAUAGAGUUUGUUUCUCUAUUUUCAUUAUUUUAUAGAUUUUUGGAGUUGUUUCUCCUUAUUCCUUAUUUGUAGAUACUUGAUUUUUCCUAGUGUGUGAAAUAAAAACCAAUUUCAAGAAAAAGUUAAACUCUCCCAUCAUCUUGAAUAAUACUAUACAAUAGUUUAUGUGUUUGAUGGAUUAGUUAAUUGGGUGUUGGAUGAGAGGCAAAGGGAAAGUAGUGAAUGGUCUAUUUGAUGUGGGGGUUGGGGUCCAAGAAUGGAUGCUACUCCUUGAAUAUGGGAACAAAUUAAAAAGGGUUAUACAAUAAUGUCACAUGCACAUCCAUACUGAGUACACAAUCUCACAUGGAUCUCCAAAAAUAAAAAAGAAAUGAAGCAAAAAAAGUUAAAAAAGAAGGCAUAAGGUAUCACCUCGAGAAGGGUGCAUAUCC